UAUAAAAGUGUCGUUAAUGACCAGACAGGCAGGGGAUUUAUACCCUGUACUGAAUGGUCAUUCGACGACCUGACUUGUAUGAGCAAGUAAGGCAUUUGCCUGGAUUGCGAAUACGGGCAGCGAUGUCGAGAGUGCAUAGCACGAAGACAUCGGCUUUUAUA
rfam:Clostridiales bacterium CHKCI001 isolate CHKC1 genome assembly, contig: {contig8}